UUUAUCCCCAAACGCGAAAUUGGCCAUGUUAAUUACGGCCUGCUCGUUGCCGGACAAAGAGGGACAGCCGGAGUCGACUCGCGCAGGGCAUGUGUGCAAAAUAGGGGUGGUCGGGCUAAAACAAAUCAUCAGCAGCUGACGUCUGACGCGGGAGGGACAGAAGCAGAGCUGGAGACUGCUGUGGAGACGUUCAGCACGUGAGGACAGUUAAAGUGUCUGUCAGGGCUGGUCCAGACAGCCUGGUCACAGAUAACGGUGACACGCUGCACUACAGUUACCAGCCGGACCCGGUCAGGUGACACUAGCACGUCAAAGCUGCCACAACAGUCAGCCUCAGCCCUGGCCAAAAGACCGUCACAAACACUGUCUGUGGUCUGGACUGGAGGACGACGACGUAUUUGUAGAUAACGUGUUCAUACAUGUUUACAUAUUAGGUUUAUAUAUAAUUGUUUAUGUGAACGCAUAAUUUGUAUUCUGCAUAGGUAAUGUGGCGAUAAAGGAAUAAGAAAAAACGUCUCUGUUUUUUCUAUUAGCAGUGGUUUCUCAUGAUGUCAAAUUUACCGUCAGUCCAAUAGACGCUGUAUUAGCAUUAGCGUUGACUCGUUUUUAAGUUUUUAAGGCAAUUUAAUAAAAAAGUAUAGUGUUAGAAAUUUACAUAAACAUUUAAAAAUAAAAUGAAAAUAUUAAAAAACGUAGUAGGAUUUAAGAUGACCGUUGAAACGUGUCAUGAUCACAAUCUUGUGAAUAAGGCAUAUUCUUCACGGUAUUGUCUCGUGAUAAAUUGCUUGUUUUCUUCUUUUUUAACUUGCUUUGGUUAAAAGCGUCUGACAAAUGAAAUAAAUAAGAACAGGACUUCACUGAUAGUAAAAUAUGGAAACCGCAUUUGAUAGCAUAAUUCAAUAUAAAAAAAAGGGGGAAAGGGAUUAAAUGAUGAACAAACUAAAAGUUAAACUGUAAAAAUAAAUAAGUACAUUUUAAUUAAAAAAGUUAAUUUAUUAAAAAUCAAUCAAUUUAUUUGGACACUAUAUUUAUUAAAGAGGUUAAUAUAGUUAUUAGGCAAGAACACAUAAAACUGAUCAUAAGUAACAGUAAAUAUAUAUUUUAAUGUUACAAAAGAUUAGUAUUUUACUGUUUUUUUACAUUUUAAAUUUUUAAUGAAUGCAAAAUGUAAGUUAGUAUUGGGUAAAGUACACUGCAACAAUGGUGAUUUUUCUUUUUUUUUACAUUUCUAUAAACAUGCACAACAUGCUUCAGCUGAUGCAACCCGUAUAACACAACAGGUUUAUGACAGCCUUUCUGAUGAUGUCACUGCCUUGCAUGUGCAGGCCAAGGUAAACAUAGCUAGCAGCAGUAGAUCAGGUCAAACAGGUUGAGCCGGAAAUGAGCAACAAGUCCAGGAUCUGCUCGAACAAGCACCUUUAUAGUAUUUACACACCAACAUCUAUGGGAAUCCCCACUGGAUUUAUGGCUUUUUGGGUGCUGGGCUGUCCAGGAAGAAAUCAUUGCAGGCUACGGUCAGUGCCCCCAUUAGGAUGAUGAACUCGGUGAAGUCCACCUCGCCAUCAUUAUUGGAAUCCAGGUCGUUCAUCACGCGU